rnacentral:rRNA from 1 species
AUUGAACGCUGGCGGCAUGCUUUACACAUGCAAGUCGAACGGUAACAGGUUAAGCUGACGAGUGGCGAACGGGUGAGUAAUGCAUCGGAACGUGCCCGAUCGUGGGGGAUAACGCAGCGAAAGCUGCACUAAUACCGCAUACGAUCUGAGGAUGAAAGCGGGGGACCGUAAGGCCUCGCGCGAUCGGAGCGGCCGAUGGCAGAUUAGGUAGUUGGUGGGGUAAAGGCUCACCAAGCCAACGAUCUGUAGCCGGUCUGAGAGGACGACCAGCCACACUGGGACUGAGACACGGCCCAGACUCCUACGGGAGGCAGCGGUGGGGAAUUUUGGACAAUGGGCGAAAGCCUGAUCCAGCAAUGCCGCGUGCAGGAAGAAGGCCUUCGGGUUGUAAACUGCGUUUGUACGGAGCGAAAAGGCUCUCUCUAAUACAGGGGGCUCAUGACGGUACCGUAAGAAUAAGCACCGGCUAACUACGUGCCAGCCGCCGCCGUAA